rnacentral:rRNA from 1 species
GACGAACGCUGGCGGCGUGCUUAACACAUGCAAGUCGAACGGAAAGGCCCCUUUGGGGGUACUCGCGUGGCGAACGGGUGAGUAACACGUGAGUAACCUGCCCUUGACUUCGGGAUAACUUCAGGAAACUGGGGCUAAUACCUGCUAGGAAUCCUUGCUGCCUGGUUGGGGUUGGAAAGCUUCGGCGGUUUUGGAUGGACUCGCGGCUUAUCAGCUUGUUUGUGGGGUAGUGGGUUACCAAGGCUUUGACGGGUAGCCGGCCUGGGAGGGCGGCCGGCCACAAUGGGACUGGGAUACGGCCCAGGACCCCACGGGGGGCAGCAGGGGGGAAUAUUGGACAAUGGGCGGAAGCCUGAUGCAGCAAAGCCGCGUGCGGGAUGACGGCCUUCGGGUUGUAAACCGGUUUCAGCAGGUGAGAAGCUGGUGGUGACGGUACCUGCAGAAGAAGCACCGGCUAACUACGUG